UUUGGUUUUAACCAUAGAACCUUUCAGAAAAGGCAAAGCUGCUGAGACAGUAAAAAGAUUAGUGUUAGUCAAGGGUUUAGAGAUGGCAGAUAAAACACAGGGGAGUUUUAGAACUCUGAAGUUCUUCUGUAUGACACUGUAUGAUGAAUACAUGGCAUUAUGCAUUUAUCAAAACCACUAGAACUAUACAACACAAAAAGUGAACCUUAACAUAAACUUUAGACUAGUUAGUAUACUGUGUAACGAUUGGUUCAUGAGAUGUACCCAAGGCACUAGAGUAAGACAAGACGAGGCUGACAGGCAACACGGUGGGGUUGGUGGGCAGAUGGGUGUACCCCACUCGCCACUCAAAUUUUCUGUAUACAUAGACUUCUAUACAUUUUUGUCUACUAAUUUUUUAAAAAAGCUUUUCGAUCUAUUACAAGUUAUAGGAACCUUGCCACAAAGAAUUUAGGAAUUUUAAUGACCUGAUAGAUAGAAAAUAAAAGGAAUUAGUUACUUUAAUAUAUCACUCAGUAUUCCCCCAGUUACCUAUUACAAAUAAAGUGAAUCAAAUAUAUAAUCUUUUUCAAUAGCAUACUCAUUUCACAUAUAGUAUAAUCCACUUGAAAUCUAAAUAUUUAGUGUCUUCUUAAUUUUAAAGAUA